UAUUAUCAUUAUUCUUUUGGAAUUUGUCUGGCAGGCUUUCUGACUUUGGUCUGGAAAAUCCAA
rnacentral:snRNA from 1 species